CUGUGGGCAUGCCCAGAUGCCGUUCGCCCAGGAAUCUGCACUUGGCGCACAUGCACUCCCUCUACAGUGCGCCUGGGGACUUCCUUCAGCUUGCACCACUGAAGAUGAGCUGUGAGGGUAACACCUCCCUUGGAAGGGUACCUGUGCUUCUUUCUUUUCCUGCUACAGAAGUCACCCAUUCACUGGUGGCGAUGUGUUCUGCCAGCUGAAAUAGCAAUUUUGCUGCCCUCUGAGGUCAAGACUCUUCUCUAUGAGGAAGUCUAUGUUGCAUAAGGGCUUGCCGACACAGGGAAGUUUGUGCCAUCAAAACACUUGUGCAAACACAGCGCUAUAAUGGCAGGCUGCUGGGACUCUCCCUGUCCUCCAGGAAUUCAAGAAGAGUUAAGAGUUGGAAACUCUCCAGAAAAACGUAUGCUUCUGCUGUAUAAUGUGUUGAAGAGCAGAAUUUCCUUGCUGACACUCAGAUCAUGGUGACUGGAGCCCCUGCACAGGCUAGAGAGGAGGAGAUGCUGAAGGUGUUGCUGAAGCUACACCAUCAUUAGGAACUGACCGCUGUGCUUCAACAAGUAGAAUGAUGAACCUGAUAAAUGCCAGAUGAGUCAUCGUGCCCAUGGAUUUACCCUGACCCAAAAGCAGCUCCUUGCCGCCUCAUUAGUACCAGGCAGUGGGGCGUGUAUAUUGUACAUCACUGGAUGCAGGGGCACAGCUUUGCCCUGCACUGCAACCAGCGCUGUGCCUUACCAUGAUCUUCUGAGUUAUAAUUCCAUAGCAACUCAUACAGAACAACAGAUUUAGGAGAACAGAUAUGACACUGACUGCAAAGCUAUUCAGGAUAUUUAUUUUAAUCCUUCCAACUUGGAUGGGAUAAAUUCUCCCUCCUGUCCCUGUGAUGCACACUCUUCUCCACGACUGGACUGCAUUUUAAAGGAGGGGGUGUAAAUGCUUCUUCCCAUGUGAUUUGUGCUGAAUAACAAGUUAAUGGUGAUGUCUAUUCCAGAGUAAACAUCAGUAGAUAUUUUUGUUUGUUUGUUUGUGUCAAUAUCUAUUGUAUAAGGCCAUGGGUCUGUAGAAAAUUACUCACACAGCUGGUAAGAUAAGUACUGCUGGUCUGGAUUUCUUUCCAACAGGGGAUGCAAGAAGAGACUGAAAGCUGAAGAAAACUUCCCAGGAACACAAAAUCCUGCUAAGUUAUUGAUAGGGAAGCUUCAAAAGGAGUGCAAAGAACAUCUGGCAGUUUCUGGUUUACAUUUCCUCUUUCCCUAAAUAAUUGGAGCACUUUAAUUAAAUUGCAAUCUUGGCUGUAUUUAUCACUGGACUUUUAUGGAGCCUUUCAUCCUAGGGCCUUAAAGCAAAUGAUUUAAGUCACAAAACAUUCCCGAGAGACGCCCUGUCAUUUUACUGAUAGGCAAAGAAACAGAACACAAAAAUAGUCCACUGGCAAGAUGACACAGGAAACUUUUAGCAGAGGGAGGAAGGAAGCCUGGGGUCUCUUGGGGUCUCAGGCAGUGUGCUCUCAGCUGCAGCUUCUUUAUGGAAACCAAGUUUGACUCUAAGAUACCAUAUCUGCUUGCUAUUACUUCAAAGCACUUUUACAGGAAAAGAAGAUUUCUAAUAUUGGAAAUAACGACUAAAAUAUACAUGCACCUUUCCAAGGGCAAAAGUACUUUCCUAAGCUUCUGCAAAUGCAGUGCGUGUGUGAGGCAAGGUCACUGCACAGUUCUUUCUGCUCUGUUUAAAAAUAUCUCACAGUAUUGCCAGCUCCCAGGAUGGGCCUUUUCAGUCCUCAACUUGACAUCGCAAAUAAACUUGCCUCUAAAUGAAUAAAUAAGUAAAUAAA